AGUGAACGUUGGCGGCAGGCCUAACACAUGCAAGUCGAACGGCAGCACAGUGGAGCUCGCUCCAUGGGUGGCGAGUGGCGGACGGGUGAGGAAUACAUCGGAAUCUGCCCAGUCGUGGGGGAUAACAUAGGGAAACUUAUGCUAAUACCGCAUACGACCUACGGGUGAAAGCGGGGGAUCGCAAGACCUCGCGCGAUUGGAUGAGCCGAUGUCCGAUUAGCUAGUUGGCGGGGUAAUGGCCCACCAAGGCGACGAUCGGUAGCUGGUCUGAGAGGAUGAUCAGCCACACUGGAACUGAGACACGGUCCAGACUCCUACGGGAGGCAGCAGUGGGGAAUAUUGGACAAUGGGCGCAAGCCUGAUCCAGCCAUGCCGCGUGGGUGAAGAAGGCCUUCGGGUUGUAAAGCCCUUUUGUCCGGAAAGAAGAGUCCCGGGUUAAUACCCUGGGGUGAUGACGGUACCGGAAGAAUAAGCACCGGCUAACUUCGUGCCAGCCGCCGCGGUAAGAC
rnacentral:rRNA from 1 species